rnacentral:rRNA from 1 species
UCAAGCGAACAAGGGCGCAGGGCGAAUGCCUUGGCACUGGGAGCCGAUGAAAGACGUGAUAAGCUGCGAUAAGCUUCGGGGAGCUGCAAAUAAGCAUUGAUCCGGAGAUUUCUGAAUGAGGAGACUCACUCAGGUUCAUACCUGAGUACGUUGUACUGAAAUUCAAAAUAGGUACAUCGGGGGAACCGCCUGAACUGAAACAUCUAAGUAGGGCGAGGAAGAGACAUCAAACGAGAUUCCGUAAGUAGUGGCGAGCGAACGCGGAAGAGGGCAAACCGAAGGUAGAAAUACCUUCGGGGUACGGACUGCUUUUAGGACUCGAUCUGUUAACCGAACGGCAUGGGAAGGCCGGUCAGAGAGUGUGAGAACCACGUAGGUGAAAACGGAGAGAGCUGCGCAGAUUCCAGAGUACGGCCAGACACGUGAAACCUGGUCGGAAGAUGGGGGGACCACCCUCCAACCCUAAAUACUACCCAGUGACCGAUAGCGUAUAGUACUGUGAAGGAAAGGUGAAAAGCACCCCGGGAGGGGAGUGAAAAAGAACCUGAAACCCUGUGCCUACAAGCACCUAGAGCACGUCAAUGUGUGAUAGGGUACUUUUUGUAGAACGGUCCGGCGAGCGAUUGUAUGCAGCAAGGUUAAGGACUUAAGGUCUGGAGCCGAAGCGAAAGCGAGUUUGAAAAGGGCGUUAAGUUGCAUAUAAUGGGCCCGAAACCGGGUGACCUACCCAUGGUCAGGUUGAAGUGGAAGUAAAAUUCCAUGGAGGACCGAACCGACCUCCGUUGAAAAGGCGGCGGAUGAACUGUGGGUAGCGGAGAAAUUCCAAUCGAACCCGGAGAUAGCUGGUUCUCUCCGAAAUAGCUUUAGGGCUAGCCUUGAAAUAGAUUACCGGAGGUAAAGCACUGAAUUGGCUAGGGGCCGAGAGGUUACUGAACCUUAUCAAACUAAGAAUGCCGGAUAAUCGUUUUUCAGGAGUCAGACAGUGGGAGAUAAGUUUCAUUGUCAAAAGGGAAACAGCCCAGACCCACAGCUAAGGUCCCCAAGUAUAGUUAAGUGGAAAAGGAUGUGGAAUUGCACAGACAACCAGGAUGUUGGCUUAGAAGCAGCCACUCAUUUAAAGAGUGCGUAAUAGCUCACUGGUCGAGUGAUUCUGCGCCGAAAAUUUCCGGGGCUAAAACUUACUACCGAAGCUACGGCAUCAUUAUGAUGGGUAGGGGAGCUUUCUAUGCGGCUUGAAGCAUGACCGUAAGGACAUGUGGACUGCAUAGAAGUGAGAAUGUUGGCAUGAGUAGCGAGAUGUGGGUGAGAAUCCCACAGGCCGUAAACCCAAGGUUUCCAGGGGAAGGUUCGUCCGCCCUGGGUUAGUCAGGACCUAAGCCGAGGCCGAAAGGCGUAGGUGAUGGACAACAGGUUGAUAUUCCUGUACCACCAAUAACCGUUUGAGAAAUGGGAUGACACAGUAGGAUAAGCUAACCGCACUGUUGGUUAUGUGCGGGCAAGUAUUGAGGCAGUUCCGAUAGGCAAAUCCGUCGGAAUAAUGCUGGGGUACGAUGCGGAGCGAAAUUUAGUAGCGAAGUAGCUGAUUUCACACUGUCGAGAAAAGUCUCUAUCGAGGUUAAAGGUGCCUGUACCGCAAACCGACACAGGUGGGUGAGGAGAGUAUCCUAAGGCCAGCGAGAGAACUGUUGUUAAGGAACUCGGCAAAAUGACCCCGUAACUUAGGGAGAAGGGGUGCCUUCGAAAGAAGGCCGCAGAGAAUAGGCCCAAGCGACUGUUUACCAAAAACAUAGGUUUCUGCUAAGUCGCAAGACGAUGUAUAGGAGCUGACGCCUGCCCGGUGCUGGAAGGUUAAGGGGAUCUGUUAGAGCAAUCGAAGCAGUGAACUUAAGCCCCAGUAAACGGCGGCCGUAACUAUAACGGUCCUAAGGUAGCGAAAUUCCUUGUCAGGUAAGUUCUGACCCGCACGAA